UAUAUUUGCCGCACUUAAGGUUGUGAUAAUAAACCUAUCACAUUAAAAGGGAAUCAGGUAUAAAGAAGCCUGAGCUGUUCCCGCAACUGUACGCUUAUUCCGCCACGGCGGAAGGCUGUUGUUACCUGCGCCACUGUAUACACGGGAAGGCAAACAACAGUACGCAAGCCAGGAGACCUGCCUUGGGGUAAACAAACAU
rnacentral:ncRNA from 1 species